rnacentral:misc_RNA from 1 species
GGGAACUUUAGCUCCAGGCUUUCUUCCGUAGAAGGUGAUAGCAGAGGAGCAAUGUUUUCUUCACGAAGGGCAUGCUCAGCAGCAGCGCUGCUCACCCGGCUUGCUCUGGGCCGGAAUAGCUGUGACAAUAUCAGUGUUAUUGUGGUGGACUUGAAAACAAACCACAGUGCUGUGUAGUUUCUAGAGCUAGAAUGUAACAUACGAGGCCCUUUUCGAGUUCUUUC